GUCGAGGAUCUUCGGCAAUGGACGAAAGUCUGACCGAGCAACGCCGCGUGUGCGAUGAAGGCCUUCGGGUUGUAAAGCACUGUCGAGGGGAAACAAGCCGUAAGGUUGAGUGACCCCUGGAGGAAGCACGGGCUAAGUUCGUGCCAGCAGCCGCGGUAAGACGAACCGUGCAAACGUUAUUCGGAAUCACUGGGCUUAAAGGGCGCGUAGGCGGGUAAUCAAGUCAAUGGUGAAAUCCUCCAGCUUAACUGGAGAAGUGCCUUUGAUACUGGUUGUCUAGAGGGAGGUAGGGGCAUGUGGAACUUCAGGUGGAGCGGUGAAAUGCGUAGAUAUCUGAAGGAACGCCAGUGGCGAAAGCGAUGUGCUGGACCUCUUCUGACGCUGAGGCGCGAAAGCUAGGGGAUCAAACGGGAUUAGAUACCCGAGUAGUCC
rnacentral:rRNA from 1 species